GACGAACGCUGGCGGCGUGCUUAACACAUGCAAGUCGAACGGAAAGGCCCUGCUUUUGUGGGGUGCUCGAGUGGCGAACGGGUGAGUAACACGUGAGUAACCUGCCCUUGACUUUGGGAUAACUUCAGGAAACUGGGGCUAAUACCGGAUAGGAGCUCCUGCUGCAUGGUGGGGGUUGGAAAGUUUCGGCGGUUGGGGAUGGACUCGCGGCUUAUCAGCUUGUUGGUGGGGUAGUGGCUUACCAAGGCUUUGACGGGUAGCCGGCCUGAGAGGGUGGCCGGCCACAUUGGGACUGAGAUACGGACCAGACUCCUACGGGAGGCAGCAGUGGGGAAUAUUGCACAAUGGGCGGAAGCCUGAUGCAGCAACCCCGCGUGCGGGAUGACGUCCUUCGGGUUGUAAACCGCUUUCGCCGGUGACGAAGCGUGAGUGACGGUAAUGGGUAAAGAAGCACCGGCUAACUACGUG
rnacentral:rRNA from 1 species